rnacentral:lncRNA from 1 species
GUGCUGGGCUGUGGCCUCCACACCAAGCAGCCGCCCUGGGCCGCCUUCCUUCGUCUGUGCGUGCAGCGCCGCCUCCUUCAGCUUAGGCCCGACACUCCAUGAACUCUCAUUUUCCACCUUCUCCGUCUCCAGCUUCCAAGCUGCACAGGGCCAGGCCGAGGUACGUGAUGGCGGGCACUGAAUUACAGAUCCCGUCUGUGGCCGCCAGCCUCUGUGUCCUGCCACCUCCUCCGAGAGGACAUCACCGCCACCAGGUGGAGCGAGUCUCCUCCUCGGCGCUCCAACCACGUGCUGUUUAUUACUCUGUGGGGAUUCCCAUACCGAGGCCUCUUCAGUUCCUGGAACAGUAGCACUAAAAGGCUCCUGAGUGCCUCUGUUAAUUUGAUUGUUCUGGUUCGCACUACAAUGACCGGGCUGGAGAGGGGGCGCUCGUAAUGAAACAGGAACUGCUCCUCGCGCCCGCUCCAGAGUCCUUUACAUCUUUGGGGAGAGGGCAUACGGGGAGCUACAUUUCAUUUUCCUGAAGAUUUUCCACGCGAAAGUGCUGGGGAGAGAGUUGGGCCUGGGAGGCUGCGCCUUCUUCCCGCGAAUCCCGAAAACUGCGCGGCAAAGGCGGGUUCCGCAGAAGUCGCGCGUGACCCGGGGCGCCGCCCUCCUCGGGGCCCAUUCGGAUCUGCCGCCCGUCCUCUCCAGAGCGCCCCCUGGCGCCCUCUAGGCCAUCUUGAUUCCACCGCCGCAGUUGAAAGAAUUAAUAAAUAAAUCCUAGUCUCGCGUCUAGACCGGUCCGUGAGGGUCCCCUGCUCACCGGACACCCUGCCGCAAUCUCUGCUGUCCCAUUCUGGCCUCCCUACGGGGACGGGGGCCACCGUUUGCACAUCAGCGGCGUUUGGGACAGCACUGUGCAAGAUCUGUGACUCGGCUUUCAGAAGCUUCUGCCACAAGGCUUCAAAGGAAACCUUCAAUUUUCACAUUUCCUAGGGGGAAAAAAAAUCUGAGAUUUCUUCUUGUGGCUUGAUGAACUUAGCUUUCGUCGCUGGAACAAAACCCGAGGAACAGCGUCUUCGCCACCCUUGCCACCUUACUGAUGUUUCUCAGGGGGCACAUGCCCAUCGCAACCUUAUGACCAAUCCCAUUUUUCAGAUGCAGAAAGAGGCUCAGAGAGGUUAAGUGCUACUUGCUCAAGGCCACAGCAGGGAGUGGAGCUGGAUUCGCUCCCAGGCAACUGACCCCAGCGUGCAGUCGAUGCCUUCUCCUAGUCCCACUCACCGUGUAAGACCUGGUAUUUACAAAUUAGAUUCUCGUUGUGCUUCUCCAUUGGAAGGGCACUAGGGGAGCUCAUUGUCUAAGACUGCCAUCCCUAACUGCCUUUUAAAAAGAAAUCUGGGCCGGGCGCAGUGGUUCAUGCCUGUAAUCCCAGCACUUUGGGAGGCCGAGGCAGGCAGAUCACGAGGUCAAGAGAUCGAGACCGUCCUGGCUAACACGGUGAAACCCCGUCUCUACUAAAAAUACAAAAAAUUAGCCGGGCGUGGUGGCGGGCGCCUGUAGUCCCAGCUACUUGGGAGGCUGAGGCAGGAGAAUGGCUUGAACCCAGGAGGCUGAACUUGCAGUGAGCCGAGAUCGCCCCACUGCACUCCAGCCUGGGCGACAGAGCGAGACUCUGUCUCAAAAAAAAAAAAAAAAAAAAAAAUCUGACGUGACAAGGCCUUUAGUUUUUAUAAGUGAGGUCUCCUCUCUUUGCCUAGAUAUUCCUCCGAUAACAUCAAUGAAAUUUUGCCCAGCACAGAGCAAGUACUAAAUAAUGAUUUGGUGAAUCUAAUGUUGAGCCUGCAGUAAUCCAACUAGAAACACCCACUCAGCCACUCGGGCAUACCUUUUAUUUGGGCAAGGGGCACUGCAGUUCUCUGGGCAGGGGUCAGCUAGGAGAGACCAAUAGAUGCCCCCACCCCAGGCUCCUAGACCCAUCUCCAGGACCAAACAGCCAAAGCCCCUCUUCUUUUCUUCAAAAUACACACAUUUCUAGAAAUUCUCUGCAAAAUACAUAGGCUACUAGAUAAGCACCCAGUUUCCCUCUGGGGUCAUUUGUUCCCGAAUGAGGCUUAUUAAAAGAGGAAACUAUUUUUAAGCUAAAUCAUCAAUCAAAAGUAUUCUUCAUUCUGGUAUAUGGCUGCUUUCCACAGAUGAUAAAAUCCCGUCAACUUGAUCCAAAGAAAAAAUGACCUACAUAACAAUGACAGCAUGAAUAACAAUUAAUCCUCCAUUGAAAUGUUCAAAAGCUAGAAUUGUGGUAAAGCCAAGAUUCCCAGGGAGUGUCAGGAACUGCUCUCUUGAUUCUAAGCUUGAAGCAGGUAAAGAAAAGGUUGUCUGGGACUAGGGCUUUCGGGGAUAGGACCCAAAUCCCAAGGCAAAGGGAGUCAGAAGCGAGUAAGAAAAGCAAACAGCUCCUACCUACCCAGUGCCAAAGAAACGCAGACACCAGUUCUGUGUCGGUUCUGCUUGAAAAGGUCUGAGAAGAAUAAUUUGGUAGAUGAAUCAUUGAAGAAUAAUUUUGCAGACAGCUCCAUCAAGCCAAAUGCCCAGCGUGAGGGCUGUGUGUAUAAUACUGUCAUAACCUUUGAAGAUAGAUUCUGUUCAUCAACACGGCUGUUUACAUAAUCACUUGGUCACCUCACCAAAUGGAUUAAUCUUUUUGGUCACAUUCCUUAUCAGUGCAUGGAGAGGCUAAUUGUUGGUGGCCCAAUGUGUCCCAUAAACGGAUCCCAUGAGAAUAAGCUUGCAGCAACAGAUGAUGAAGGGAACUGAGAUACAGACGAAAGCACAGCGGCCUGGGAGACAGGAGACGAGGCUCCGCCUGGACCUUGACGACGACCUUCCUUAAAACUAUGGACUCGUCAUCUGACCUCUCAAGGCCUCCAUUUCCCCAUCUGUAAAACCGAAAGCCCCUCAGCAAUCUGGGGCUAUCAUCUGAAAAGUGUGGGCAGCUGCGGGCGCUCAUACCUCAAGCCCCAAGAGUUUCUUCUUCUAACAGUAACAUACUUUGCACAUGACCCAGCAAUCCCACUCCUGGGUAUUUACCUGAUAAAUGAAAACCCAUGUUUGCCGGGCAUGGUGGCUCAUGCAUGUAAUCCCAGCACUUUGGGAGGCCAAGGUGGGCGGAUCACUUGAAGUCAAAAGUUCAAGACCAGCCUGGAAAACAUGGUGAAACCCCAUCUCUACUAAAACUACAAAAAUUGGUGGGGUGUGGAGGCACAUGCCUGUAGUUCCAGCUACUCGGGAAACUGAGGCAGAAGGAUUGCUUGAACCCAGGAAUUGGAGGUUACAAGUGAGCCAAGAUUGCGCCAUUGCACUCCAGUGCAGAGCAAAAGUCUGUCAAAAAAAAAAAAAAAAGAAGAAGAAAAAGAAAAAAGGAAUGAAAGGAAAGAAAAGGAAGGAAGGAAGGAAGGACCAUUAAGAAGGUACCUGUACCCAAAUUUGCAGAGCAGCUUUAUUUUUAUUUAUCACCGCCCCAGACUGGAGUCAACCCACACGUCCUCAGCGUGUGAAUGAAUAGACCAACCGCAGCACAAGAGAAUUUUGCGGGGCGAUGGAUCUGUCUGUAUCUUGACCAUAGUGAUGAUACAUGACUGUGCAUUUGUCAGAACUCACAGGACUGAAUGAAAAGAGAAGUGAAUUUUACUGCAUGUGAAUUGUUAAAAUAAAUGCUAGACAGUAUUUUAAAAAUCAAGCCCAGAUCCUGCAAGACAUUAUGGCUCCCCACCAGAAGGGGAGAGACGGGGAAAGAGAAGUGUCCCCAAAGUUAACCCACGUUCCCUGGGACCCACCUCCCUCCCCACUGCCACUUCCCACCAGCCUCACGCACGGGCCAGGCCCUUCCCUUUGCAGCUCACAGCCCAGCAGAUGUUAGGUCAGAAUGCGUCCCCUCACUUGACUAAAGGUUUACAGCCAGCAGGGUGGAAAUGAACCAGAUAUUAACACCCCCUCCUCCAUGCCCUGCCCACCUUCUGGCCAGUACCAGUGAAGCAGAAGCCACUCUCCCACCCCCAGGCUGUCCCAAAGCCCUGAAGACCCAAGAAAGCAGAGCCAAGUGGAGUGACCCUGAUACCAGGGCCAGCUGCCCAGUCCCCUGUAGCUGGGGAGGACCCCCUCUUCUUGUGAGGCAGACACUGGGAGUGACCCCUCCCUGCAAGGGAGAUUUCUCAUCCCCCAGGGUUCCCAGAGGGUUCCCAGAGGAAAUACAGGAUACCCAAUACAUUUGAAUUUCAGAUAAAAAAUAAAUAACGUUCUGAUACAAGUCUGUCCUGUGCAAUAU